rnacentral:lncRNA from 1 species
AGAAGAUGAUCAAUGCAGCCACCAUUCACCGGGAGAAUUUGACGCCUACUGUUGCCAUCAACAGCAUGACACACGCAUACCACAUCACAUCACACACAUAAGCAUCUCCACCAAACCCACCGCUGCCAUCCCCCCCACCUCCCUCAUCACGUGCCUGGAAGAGAUCCGGAGCUGGUUGAGCAGGAACUUCCUGAAACUCAAUGGAAACAAGACCGAGGCCCUGCUCAUCGGAUCCAAAUCCACCCUCACUAAAUCACAACACACCCCAGCUCCACUCAUAAUUAUCGAUGGAUUCCCAGUACCCUUCUCCUCCAAAGUCAAGAGCCUCGGCGUCAUCCUGGACAACACCCUCUCAUUCGCACCCCAUAUUCACAACAUCACCCGGACUGCAUUCUUCCACCUCCGCAACAUCGCCAGACUCCGCCCAUCACUGACCCAAUCCAGCGCUGAAAUCCUAGUUCACUCAUUUGUCACAUCACGCAUAGACUACUGCAACGCCCUCCUCACCGGACUCCCCACCAAACUUAUCAACAGACUGCAGAUCAUUCAGAACUCAGCCGCCCGGAUCAUCACCCACACCAAAUCAUCUGACCACAUUACCCCUGUCCUCAUUCAACUUCACUGGCUCCCAGUACACUACCGCAUCCAAUACAAAACCCUACUCCUCACCUACAAAGCUCUCCACAACCUAGCCCCCAGUUAUCUCUGCGACCUCCUCCAAGAAUACACUCCCUCCCGCUCCCUCCGCUCAACCUCUGCUGGACUACUAUGUAUCCCCACAUCACGACUCACUUCAAUGGGUGCCCGGUCAUUCAGCUGUUCAGCAUCCAGGCUCUGGAACUCCCUCCCCCCACACAUAAAACAGUCAGACACCAUUUCAACCUUCAAGUCACAACUCAAAACUCACUUGUUCAAACUCGCACACAACGUCUAACUGAUCACUGUUUUGAUUGUUUUUUUUUUUUAUUUAUUUCUUAUUGCUUAUGUUUAUUUAUUUAUUUAUUUAUUUAUUUUUUCCACAAUGUCUUGCUUUUUAAAAAAUGUAUGAUGACUAUAUGCUCUGUAAGGUGACCUUGGGUGUCUUGAAAGGCGCCUCUAAAUUAAAUGUAUUAUUAUUAUUAUUAUUAUACCCAGGGCCUCUUCAAAAAAUGAAUCCAGAACUUAAUGAAUACAGGGGCUUCUUUCAACCGUUAUCCAUUGUUACAACCUUGUCACUAGUUUUGAAGUACAAAAGUUGUAUUCCAUUCUCCUCCCGCUCCUCCUCCAAUCCACCACAUCCUAAAUGCGUAUUGCAU